GCUACUUUUCCUUUCAGCCACACUGCUAAGGGCACCAUGCGGAAGCCUGGUAUCCGACUAAUGCUCACCAAGUGUUACAAGGCUUGAGCGCAGGGAAAUAUGCAACCUUGUGACCCUGACUCAGAAUAGCCAAACUCCAUCUGCUCUGAAACUUUAAAUGGUAAGAACGCCUCCAUUUCUUACUGGACAUAUUUGGAGGAUUUUAUCCAGGGAAAGCUCAGAAACUGCAAGUACAGAAUCUCACAAAACCAGAGAAGAAUGAACAGCUCUCAGUUUUGCAAACAAGGAAUCAGUGUGACAACUAAGGCUUUGGGAACUAAAGAAGGAAGGCUACUGAAAACACUCACAUGACCGGAAUUUUAUUUGCCUGGAAUCAAAGUACCAUGAUCCUUUUGCCCUUGAAAACCUCAAAUUUUAAGGGGAGGUGUGGCAGUCACAUAAAUAAAAGUGUCUACUACUGAGAGGUCGUUUUGUGAAUUAUCACAAAGGAGU